rnacentral:sRNA from 1 species
CCACGAUGUCCAGUUCUUUGACUUGCGGCUCCUCUUCCUGCUAACGGCACUCCGCACCGAUGUGCGCCAGCAGCUGUUUCAGGAGCUGAAAGGAGUGCGUCUGCUAACUGACACACUGGAGCUGACGCUGGGGGUGACUCCUGAAGGGAACCCACCCAAGCUCCUUCCUUCCCAAGAGACUGAGCGGGCCAUGGAGAUCCUCAAAGUGCUCUUCAACAUCACCCUCGACUCCAUCAAGGGGGAGGUGGACGAGGAAGACGCUGCCCUUUACCGACACCUGGGGACCCUUCUCCGGCACUGUGUGAUGAUUGCUACUGCUGGAGACCGCACAGAGGAGUUCCAUGGCCACGCAGUGAAUCUCCUGGGGAACUGCCCCUGAAGUGUCUGGAUGUUCUCUCACCCUGGAGCCACAUGGAGACUCCGUGGAGUUCAUGGGAGUGAAUAUGGAUGUGAUUCGUGCCCUCCUCAUCUUCCUAGAGAAGCGUUUGCACCAGACACACAGGCUGAAGGAGAGUGUAGCUCCCGUGCUGAGCGUGCUGACUGAAUGUGCCCGGAUGCACCGCCCAGCCAGGAAGUUUCUGAAGGCCCAGGUAUGAGGCUGAGGAGCUGGUGCUCCUGGGGGAUGUGGUUUCGGCCCUGAUCACAGACCCUUGGCUGCUCCGAGCCCAAG